rnacentral:rRNA from 1 species
UAUCUCUGUAGAGUCUGCAUAUCAAUAAGCGGAGGAAAAGAAACUAACAAGGAUUCCCUUAGUAACGGCGAGUGAAGCGGGAAGAGCUCAAAUUUGAAAUCUUCAAGGUUCUACCUUGACGAAUUGUAGUUUAAAGAAGUGUUUUCUGUUAGAUGAGUAGCAAAAGUUCCUUGGAAUGGGACAUCAUAGAGGGUGAGAAUCCCGUAUUUGGUUAUUCAUUCUAGCUUUGUGAUACACUUUCAAAGAUUCGGAUUGUUUGGGAAUGCAGUCCAAAAUGGGUGGUAAAUUUCAUCUAAAGCUAAAUAUUGGCGAGAGACCGAUAGCGAACAAGUACCGUGGGGGAAAGAUGAAAAGAACUUUGAAAAGAGAGUUAAACAGUACGUGAAAUUGUCAAAAGGGAAGCGUUUGACACCAGUGUUGUUUUUCCGAAAAUCAAUUACGAAUGGCUUGAUUUUGUGUUGUAUUGACCUUAUCAGCUUUCUUCACUUUUUUCGAGUCUUUCUUAAUGCACUUUUCGGUUAACAAGUCAACAUCAAUUUCUUUUGUUGUAAAAGAGUAUUCGGAAGGUGGCUUUCUUUUCGGAGAAAGUGUUUAUAGCCCUUAUGCCUCUACAAUCGGAGAGAUUGAGGUCUGCAGCGUAGAUCCUUCGGGGUUAGAUACAUUUGUGCUAAGUUGUAGCUUUUCAUAGACAACUUGUUGACUAUGUUUAGUCAUUGUAGGCUUACUCGCUUAUGCUAUUUUACCUACGCUUAGGAUGUUGAUGUGAUACUGCGAGCA